rnacentral:rRNA from 1 species
GACGAACGCUGGCGGCGUGCUUAACACAUGCAAGUCGAGCGGUAAGGCCCUUUCGGGGGUACGACGAGCGGCGAACGGGUGAGUAACACGUGGGUGACCUGCCCUCAGCUCUGGGAUAAGCCUGGGAAACCGGGUCUAAUACUGGACAUGACUCCAUGACGCAUGUUGUGGGGUGGAAAGCCUUGUGCGGCUGAGGAUGGGCCCGCGGCCUAUCAGCUUGUUGGUGGGGUGAUGGCCUACCAAGGCGACGACGGGUAGCCGGCCUGAGAGGGCGACCGGCCACACUGGGACUGAGACACGGCCCAGACUCCUACGGGAGGCAGCAGUGGGGAAUCUUGCGCAAUGGGCGAAAGCCUGACGCAGCGACGCCG